UCAUAGCCUUAAGGAGACCACUGUUGCUGAAAAGCCUUGUUUAUUGUGAGGAGGAGGGGAGAAACUGGGGUGAGAAACGUUGCUACCUGUUGCAGCAGCUACCUGAUCACCCAAGAGAUUUGCAUAAUUUCUUCCUCCCACUAUAUCCCAUUCCAGCAGCCAAUAUCUUAACAAAAGGGAAGCUAUUAUGGAAGAAAAUUUAAUAAAAAUAUUCUCUAGGCA
rnacentral:lncRNA from 1 species